rnacentral:rRNA from 1 species
CGCGGCCUAUCAGCUUGUUGGCGGGGUAACGGCCCACCAAGGCAACGACGGGUAGCUGGUUUGAGAGAACGAUCAGCCACACUGGAACUGAGACACGGUCCAGACUUCUACGGAAGGCAGCAGUAGGGAAUCUUGCGCAAUGGGCGAAAGCCUGACGCAGCGACGCCGCGUGCGGGAUGACGGCCCUAGUGGUUGUAAACCGCUUUCAGCAGGGACGAAAAUGACGGUACCUGCAGAAGAAGUCCCGGCUAACUACGUGCCAGCAGCCGCGGUAAUACGUAGGGGACAAGCGUUGUCCGGAUUCAUUGGGCGUAAAGAGCUCGUAGGCGGUUCAGUAAGUUGGGUGUGAAAGCUCCGGGCUCAACCCGGAGAGGCCACUCAAUACUGCUGUGACUAGAGUCCAGUAGAGGAGCGUGGAACUCCUGGUGUAGCGGUGAAAUGCGCAGAUAUCAGGAAGAACACCGGCAGCGAAGGCGGCGCUCUGGGCUGGUACUGACGCUGAGGAGCGAAAGCAUGGGUAGCAAACAGGAUUAGAUACCCUGGUAGUCCAUGCCGUAAACGUUGGGCACUAGGUGUGGGGAGGAAUCAACCCUCUCCGUGCCGUAGCUAACGCAUUAAGUGCCCCGCCUGGGGAGUACGG